rnacentral:rRNA from 1 species
CCUACGGGAGGCAGCAGUGGGGGAUAUUGCACAAUGGGGGGAACCCUGAUGCAGCGACGCCGCGUGGGUGAAGAAGCGCCUCGGCGCGUACAGCCCUGUCAGCAGGGAAGAAAAUGACGGUACCUGAAGAAGAAGCCCCGGCUAACUACGUGCCAGCAGCCGCGGUAAUACGUAGGGGGCAAGCGUUAUCCGGAGUUACUGGGUGGAAAGGGGGCGCAGACGGCGAUGCAAGCCAGGAGUGAAAGCCCGGGGCCCAACCCCGGGACUGCUCUUGGAACUGCGUGGCUGGAGUGCAGGAGGGGCAGGCGGAAUUCCUGGUGUAGCGGUGAAAUGCGUAGAUAUCAGGAGGAACACCGGUGGCGAAGGCGGCCUGCUGGACUGCAACUGACGUUGAGGCCCGAAAGCGUGGGGAGCAAACAGGAUUAGAUACCCUGGUAGUC